GACGAACGCUGGCGGCGUGCUUAACACAUGCAAGUCGAACGGACAGACCCUGCGCUUGUUGGGUUCUCGUUUGGCGCAAGGGUGAGUAAAACGUGAGUAACCUGCCCUUGACAUUGUGAUAUCUUUAGGAAAAUGCGGCUCAUACCGGAUAUAAGCUCCUGCUGCAUGUUGGUGGUUGGAAAGUGUCGGCGUUUGGGACUGGACUCGCUGCGUAUCCGCUUGUUGGUGGGGUUGUGCCUUACCCAGGCUUUGACGGGUAGCCGGCCUGAGCGGGUGACCGGCGACCUUGGGACCUAGAUGAGGCAGCGACUGCGACGGGAGGCAGCAGUGGGGAAGAUUGCACGAUGGACGGAAGGCUGAUGCAGCAACGCCGCGGGCGGGAUGACGGCCUUAGGAGUGUAAACCGCUUGCGUCUGUGACGAAGCGCGAGUUAAGGUAACGGGUACAGAAGCACCGGCUAAAUACGUG
rnacentral:rRNA from 1 species